rnacentral:rRNA from 1 species
GAUGAACGCUAGCUACAGGCUUAACACAUGCAAGUCGCGGGGCAGCAUGGGGGUUGCUUGCAAUCCCCGAUGGCGACCGGCGCACGGGUGAGUAACGCGUAUCCAACCUGCCCUUCACCACGGGAUAACCCGGCGAAAGUCGGACUAAUACCGUAUGUUGUCCAUUGACGGCAUCCGAUUUGGACGAAAGGCUUGGCGGUGAGGGAUGGGGAUGCGUCCGAUUAGCCAGACGGCGGGGUAACGGCCCACCGUGGCUACGAUCGGUAGGGGUUCUGAGAGGAAGGUCCCCCACACUGGAACUGAGACACGGUCCAGACUCCUACGGGAGGCAGCAGUGAGGAAUAUUGGUCAAUGGGCGUAAGCCUGAACCAGCCAAGUAGCGUGCAGGAGGACGGCCCUACGGGUUGUAAACUGCUUUUAUGCGGGGAUAAAGUGGCCCACGUGUGGGCUUUUGCAGGUACCGCAUGAAUAAGGACCGGCUAAUUCCGUG